CAAGUCUGAUCCAAUUGGUCUGACGCGUGAAGAGGCUGCGCUUACCAAAAGCUUGCUAUCGAGCAACUGCAGAAGCCACCAAGCAAGCAAGAGGAAGCGAACGUUUGAUACAAUGAAAUUUAGACCUAGUAAGCUGUAGAUUUGACCAAAAAAAAAACAUCUUCAUGAAUCUAAUUUAAAAUGUGCUUUGGCUCUCAGUCGAUACAUUAUUAUCGUCCAUAGCCGAGUAUCCACGACACAUUAGAAAUAUCACCAAAAGAGCGAGGAUGUUGGUCCCCGCGGGAAGAUAAUGAAGAGGUUGCGCGAUUUGUUGGUGUGCCUCAUUGUUGCUCUUCUGUGCUGGUGUCUUGUCGUUUUGACUAACCCUCAUGUGGACAUGUGGUUUCAAGCUCAAAGUGUUCCCUUCUGUGGUCAAAGUUGAUAUGCCAGCCCAAUAGCAGGU
ensembl:lncRNA